rnacentral:rRNA from 1 species
UCGAGAAUCAUUCACAAUGGGGGAAACCCUGAUGGUGCGACGCCGCGUGGGGGAAUGAAGGUCUUCGGAUUGUAAACCCCUGUCAUGUGGGAGCAAAUUAAAAAGAUAGUACCACAAGAGGAAGAGACGGCUAACUCUGUGCCAGCAGCCGCGGUAAUACAGAGGUCUCAAGCGUUGUUCGGAAUCACUGGGCGUAAAGCGUGCGUAGGCGGUUUCGUAAGUCGUGUGUGAAAGGCGGGGGCUCAACCCCCGGACUGCACAUGAUACUGCGGGACUAGAGUAAUGGAGGGGGAACCGGAAUUCGCGGUGUAGCAGUGAAAUGCGUAGAUAUCGAGAGGAACACUCGUGGCGAAGGCGGGUUCCUGGACAUUAACUGACGCUGAGGCACGAAGGCCAGGGGAGCGAAAGGG